GGGGCUGUAGCUCAGUGGUAGAGUGCUUGCCUUGCAUGUGUGAGGCACUGGGUUCAAUCCUCAGCACCA
rnacentral:tRNA from 1 species